UGCAAAUCUGAAAUCCUUACCAGAGCGGCUAUGCCAUCUCUCCGCUCUUCGCAUUUUAAUUAUACGCAAUUGUGGAAGUCUCGUUUCCUUCCCAAGAGGAGGGUUGCCAUCCAACCUGAUAGACUUUCGUAUCGACAAUUGUGAUCAAUUGGAAGCCCUCCCAGAGGCAUGGACAACCUCAGCUCUCUUCAGACUUUGUUGUUGGUAGAAUGUGGAGGUUUUGCUUCCAUUAUAGAAGAGGGUUUCCCACCCAACCUAAUUAAUCUUCAUAUUUGGACUCCCAAAAGCUGCAAGCCUCUCUCAGAGUGGGGGCUUCACCACUUGGACAGACUCACCUCUCUUAAAGAAUUGUGGAUCGUUGGUGCAGAUCCAGAUCUGGUGUCCUUUCCGCCAAAGGAGGUGCUGCUCCCAAAAUCUCUCAUUAAACUCGCCAUUGCAGACUUCCCAAAUCUGAAGCGCCUGUCAUCAUCUUUUCAAUCACUCUCCUCUCUUGAAUCCCUUAACAUUUGGGAUUGCCCAAAGCUAGCAUCUAUUAUUCCAGAAAAAGAGGAUCAUUUGCCUCUUUCACUUACACAGCUUCGCAUCUAUGACGAGUGUCCGCUGCUCAGAAAGAAAUACCAACCAGGUAAAGGACGACACUGGCCCAAAGAAAUAGCCCACAUCCCAUACGUUUAUUUUGGAGACUGGGAGGACGAAGCCAAAGCCGACCGCGGGCUUUGAAUCAGCAAACUCACAACUUGUUUUUGUUGGAGACCACGGUGAAGAAGCCAAAGCCGACCGCUGGGCAUAGAAAUCAAACUAUAGAGCAGCAAGAAGUACAGGGUUGAGCAAUGGACCAGCUCAAGAGUCUUGAUCCACGCACCCUUCUAAUGCUGGAUUAAGGGCAGCAGCAAGUAAAAGGUGGAGAAAGUUGUUUGCAAUGAGAGCACCUCAAGAAUUUUGUUCUGGGCUUCUAGUUCUGGUUCAAGAUUAUAUCCUCAGAGUGUUGAGAAGGCUUCAUAGACUGAUAAGCUGUUUGCGCUUCUCCAAACAACAUUCAUAAUUUUCAAAAGUAGAAUACUUAACUGUCAUUAAGAUUCAUGACUUUCAGUUCAAUUUCGACAGUGCUUUGAACCAAGCCUGCAUUAUAUAUCAGUAACCUUCAAUGCUUUUUGAGAAUAGCCAACUUUGUCUUUCUGUAUUUGUCACUUUCAUAAAAAAUGAAGUCAAUUUCAAUUAUGUUUUUCAUGGUUGUAAUUUGUUAGCAACAACAAAUUCCGCGGCAAAGCGCGGGCGCCAUUG